rnacentral:misc_RNA from 1 species
UCUCCGUAGGUGAACCUGCGGAGGGAUCAUUACAGAGUUCAUGCCUUACCGGGUUGAUCUCACACCCUAUGUUAUUAUUACUUUGUUGCUUUGGCGGGCCGUUAGGCUCCGGCCCGACUACCGGCACCGGCUGGUACGCGACCGUCAGUGGAAACAAAAUCCUGAAUAAUAGUGUUGAAUGAGUACCUUUCAAUAGCGAAACUUUUCAACAACGGAUCUAUUGGUUCCGGCAUCGAUGAAGAAAGCAGAAGAUCGGAAGAGCACAAGUCCGUACGCCAG